rnacentral:rRNA from 1 species
GGAGCAAUCUUGUGAGUAAAGUGGCGUACGGGUGAGUAACACGUGGAUCAUCUACCCUCUUGUGGGGGAUAACCCUGGGAAACCGGGGCUAAUACCGCAUAAGUCCGAGAGGAGAAAGCAGCAAUGCGCAGGAGGAGGAGUCCGCGGCCGAUUAGCUAGUUGGUAGGGUAAAAGCCUACCAAGGCAACGAUCGGUAGCCGGCCUGAGAGGGCACACGGCCACACUGGCACUGAAACACGGGCCAGACUCCUACGGGAGGCAGCAGUGGGGAAUCUUGCACAAUGGGGGCAACCCUGAUGCAGCGACGCCGCGUGAGCGAUGAAGCCCUUCGGGGUGUAAAGCUCUUUCGGCAGGGAAGAUUAUGACGGUACCUGCAGAAGCAGCUGCGGCUAACUACGUGCCAGCAGCCGCGGUAAUACGUAGGCAGCAAGCGUUGUUCGGAGUUACUGGGCGUAAAGGGUGUGUAGGCGGUUUUCUAAGUCUGGUGUGAAAUCUCCCGGCUCAACUGGGAGGGUGCGCCGAAAACUGGAAGGCUAGAGUGCGGGAUGGGAGAGUGGAAUUCCUGGUGUAGCGGUGAAAUGCGUAGAUAUCAGGAGGAACACCUGUGGUGUAGACGGCUCUCUGGACCGCAACUGACGCUGAGACACGAAAGCGUGGGUAGCAAACAGGAUUAGAUACCCUGGUAGUCCACGCCCUAAACGAUGCAUAUUUGGUGUGGGCCAUUCAUUUGGUCCGUGCCGG